rnacentral:rRNA from 1 species
AGUGAACGCUGGCGGUAGGCCUAACACAUGCAAGUCGAACGGCAGCACAGAGGAGCUUGCUCCUUGGGUGGCGAGUGGCGGACGGGUGAGGAAUACAUCGGAAUCUACUCUGUCGUGGGGGAUAACGUAGGGAAACUUACGCUAAUACCGCAUACGACCUACGGGUGAAAGCAGGGGACCCUCGGGCCUUGCGCGAUUGAAUGAGCCGAUGUCGGAUUAGCUAGUUGGCGGGGUAAAGGCCCAACAAGGCAACGAUCCGUAGCUGGUCUGAGAGGAUGAUCAGCCACACUGGAACUGAGACACGGUCCAGACUCCUACGGGAGGCAGCAGUGGGGAAUAUUGGACAAUGGGCGCAAGCCUGAUCCAGCCAUACCGCGUGGGUGAAGAAGGCCUUCGGGUUGUAAAGCCCUUUUGUUGGGAAAGAAAUCCAGCUGGCUAAUACCCGGUUGGGAUGACGGUACCCAAAGAAUAAGCACCGGCUAACUUCGUGCCAGCCGCCGCCGUAA